CUAAUCCUACGGGGCGCAGCAGUGAGGAAUAUUGGUCAAUGGUCGGGAGACUGAACCAGCCAAGCCGCGUGAGGGAGGAAGGUACAGAGUAUCGUAAACCUCUUUUGUCAGGGAACAAAGACUGGGACGCGUCCCCGGAUGAGUGUACCUGAAGAAAAAGCAUCGGCUAACUCCGUGCCAGCAGCCGCGGUAAUACGGAGGAUGCGAGCGUUAUCCGGAUUUAUUGGGUUUAAAGGGUGCGCAGGCGGUCUGUUAAGUCAGCGGUCAAAGCCCGGGGCUCAACCCCGGCCCGCCGUUGAAACUGG
rnacentral:rRNA from 1 species